GUUAAAAUGUUUAUCCAUGUGUUGUAUGCGAUAUGGUUGUACUAUUAUUUUCUUAUGCCAAUAUACGCUGCUAUAUACUAGAAAUUUGAUAAAUGCUAUUCUCUGUCUUUUCUGCCCAAAUGACCUAAUAACUUCCAUCAUUUUGCACAAGAAAGGGGCCGUUGCAACUUGCAACAUGAGAUGUGUAAAGUUCAAUUCUCUGAGUCUACUGUUACAGUGCAUUCAUUAAAUUGUGUGUACACUCCUGAUUCCACGGGCUUAGAGUCUGAGUCACUUGUUGAAGGACCAUGCAGCCCAUAAGGCCCAUCCGAAAACCUAAUUUACCUGAUUUAACCGUUUUACCAAAGCCAAUCCAAACUUAUUUCAUAAGCACCACACAAUAGGACUUUUCACAGUUGCUCUAAGAUUGGCACCUGUGUCCAACUGUCUUAUGCCAAAAAACGACCAUCUUCAGUGUACAUCUCAGAUCUGCUUUCUACCAUUCAUUACUACUCUGCUUCAUCACAGAUCCAUUGUGACGCUGUCGCCGCACUCGUCAGAGAUCCAUCUCUGCAGCCAUCCCUAGUACGAUCACCAUUUGCUGUUAUUCACUUUUGCCAAGGGUUCUCGUUGUCCAGGAUUGUCUUGUUUUUACUGUUUUUAGUGACCAGCCACCACUUUCCUCUCCUGAACCUUGGGGAGUCCCUUCUUUAGAGCUGCUACUUCAGGUUACGAAGGGUUUUUCUUUAUUAUUUUUUUGAAAGGCAAUUUUUUUUUUAUUAAUCUUUGAGUAGGCAUUACAAAGACUAAAAGGAACAAGGUUAACGGCAUCACAUCCCUAAACAAAGCCUAAGAACAAUCUUGUGCCAAUCCAAGACCAAAGAGAGAGAGAGAGAGAGAGAGAAACUGAGAUUAGCAAGCUGCCAAUCAAGGUAACACCAAAUGGGCCAAGCCCAAAACAGCUAUUGGGUCAAGCCCAACCCUAAAUGACCUGAAACCCCAACCCUAGCAUUAUAUCAAACAAUGUUCUAAAAGUCGCUAGGUGGCCACCUUCGAACGAUUAAUCGGAUUAAUCGGUGCAUAUUAAUUAGUAUUCGGCGAUUAAUAGUUAGUCGGACCUAAUCGAGUAGGCCUCGCCAGCAAUUAAUCGCCGAUUAAUUCCUUGUUUUAGAACACUGAUAUUAUAACAACGACCACUGCCCUGCGCCCACACCGCCUGCCAUCCGAUGUUCACACCAGAUGCCGAGACCAGUGCCUAUGGAGGGUUCUCCUGCUGGUUCUGGAAGGAAACCAAACCAAACCAAACCGAACCGAGCCUUAAGUCCCAAUCACUUGGGGUCGGCUACAUGAAUCCUUUUCCUCCAUUGAGCUCUGGAAGGAACCGAAAAGAAAACGACAGCACCCACCGGAGAUGCAGAGGACGGAACAGCCACGGAGCCCAGCAAACCUCGAACCGCAACACUCAAUGAACACCACCAGCCGUCGGGAUCUCACUUCUCCGUUAAAGCCCCCCUUGCUGGAAACACCCAACAGUGUAAAUUGGUGGACAUCCACCAGAGUCGAAAAAUCUAUUGAAGAGAGGGGGAGAGGGAAGCAGAAAUGGACUAGGGAAAGGGAGAAGAAAGAGGAAAAAGAAGAAAAAAACAGAGGAAAUCGUAGGAGCUUUCAACCCUUGAUCGCUACCCAAAUAUCAACCUAAACAGACCCAUUGGAUUAUUUAGAUGUAUGAAGCCAGCCUAACUUCCCAACUGCCCAGGAAAAAGAAGAAAAAGGUCCAGCACAAAUACUAAACCAUCUUUAAGCCCAAGACCUCAACUCAGCCCAAUAACACAGAUGAACUGUAGCCAGGCAGCCGAAGAGGAGCGUGGUGGUGGUGGGUGACUUUAAUAGGAGUUUGGAUAAUUGGAUGGUGGUCGUGAUCAUAUUGUCAUAGAGAUGGCUCGCUUUUUGAGAACGUGGACUGUGUAGUCACUGUUUGAAACUUGGUUGUGACAUCUAUAUGCAUUCGUGAAAUAGAGAAAGAGAGUCAGAUGAAAUUUACCUGUACAUGUUUGAUAUUUUUUUUGAAACGGCAAAAACAUUUUAUUAAGGGGGAAAGGGGAAGGGAAUUCCAACCAAAAGUUGAAACAACCAGUUGGGAACAAAGCCCAAACACUCCUAGUGGGACAAAGCCCAAAACACCCAUGGGUCUAAAACCCAGAUAAUACAAUCAAAGCACAUAAACAAAGGGCCUAAAGUGCCCAAAAUAAACAAUGAAGCCCAGUCUAAAAGAAAAGCCAAAACCUAACCCUAGACAUUUGAGAAACUUCGAUCACAGCCGUAGAUCACUUUCAUCACCAGAAUGAGAAUAGAUCACACCACCACCACCAUGCAGCAGCAACCAACCACCACGCCACC